ensembl:lncRNA
AGUCAGGUAGGUACAGAGUGGUCAGGACAGUCAGGUAGGUAGAGAGUGGAUAGUCCAGUCAGGUAGGUACAGAGUGGUCAGGACAGUCAGGUAGGUAUAGAGUGGUCAGGACAGUCAGGUAGGUACAGAGUGGUCAGGACAGUCAGGUAGGUACAGAGUGGUCAGGACAGUCAGGUAGGUACAGAGUGGUCAGGACAGUCAGGUAGGUACAGAGUGGUCAGGACAGUCAGGUAGGUAGAGAGUGGAUAGUCCAGUCAGGUAGGUAUAGAGUGGUCAGGACAGUCAGGUAGGUACAGAGUGGUCAG